UACGUAGGGGGCAAGCGUUAUCCGGAUUUAUUGGGCGUAAAGAGCUCGUAGGCGGUCGUUCGCGUCGGAUGUGAAAGCUCAGGGCUCAACUCUGAGACGCCAUUCGAUACGGGACGGCUAGAGGUAGGUAGGGGAAAGUGGAAUUCCUGGUGUAGCGGUGAAAUGCGCAGAUAUCAGGAGGAACACCGGUGGCGAAGGCGGGUCUCUGGGCCGAUACUGACGCUGAGGAGCGAAAGCGUGGGGAGCGAACAGG
rnacentral:rRNA from 1 species